rnacentral:lncRNA from 1 species
UAUACCACAUUUUGUAUCCUACAGCUUGUGUUGGAUGAUAGAACUAGGAUAAUGCAUUCAUGUGGUCGUGUUUUAUUGUGCCAGUCAACCACAAUGGCGUGACGACAGCAUGGUUUUCUUUUCAGAAAGGUGUAGUGCUUCCAGUGGGUUGUUGGGAGUACUGCAGAAUUCUCAUAUUUUAUAGCAAGCUGUAAAACAACUUUGGCUUUGUUGCUUUCCAGUUUACUCAGCUGGGCAGGCAGGGGUGUUCCUGCAAACAGACUGUUUAUUAAAGAUGUUUCAAUUAGUUCAUAGUGCUUGCUACAAUACGAUAAUGGCAUAUUGGUUUUGGGGCCCACGAGUUUAAGAUGUAGUCACUGAGUUACUGAACAAUACUGAGAUGGCUUCUGCAGUACUGAGUGUUACAAAGAUCUAUUUCUUAUAAUCUUAUGUUGACCUGCCAGCAAAAUGACUUAUUCACAUACAAUUUCCUCUUGCAAGGAUUUUUUUAUAUGCCAGCUGGUAUUUCCUCCAGUUUAAGGUUUAUUGAGCUGGUGUAUUAGAUUUCCUGCUGCAUGAGCAAGAAGAUUAUGGUGGCUUACGUCUAAGUAUACUUUUGGGAGGCAUUUUGUAUUUUCUCUAUAAAUAGUCUUUCUAAAACACAAUUUUGAAACUAUUAAUGUUUAUAUCGCAUUAUACAUCUCUCUAAGUUUACUGUCCUGAGUAUACAGUAUGGUUGCAAGAGGAAAUCUUUUUGUCUAAGAAACGUGUUCAGAAUUGUCAUUGUUAAAAGGCUACUAAAAGGUAGCACUGAGCACUCAGCUUAAAGGAAUAAGUUUGGCGGGUGUUACUGAUGAAUAGAAAGAAUGGUGAGAAAAUGCCACUUUGGCAUUCAUCAUCCUCCACAGUCAGCAGCGAAGAUGGGACUGCAUGGCACUGGCGUGCAAAAGCCAAGUGCUUCUGAGCACUUUGACUAUGCCAGGUGUGGGGCAAGGCCACCUAAGAAUGGAGUUGUAUAAUGACUGUCCUGCCCUGUUGCUGCAUCAGCGCGGGUCUGACUGGGUCGUGUGGGAACUAAAAUCCACAGUGGAACUUUAAAAAGUGUUUGUGAGAGUUU